GAGUUUGAUCAUGGCUCAGAUUGAACGCUGGCGGCAUGCCUUACACAUGCAAGUCGAACGGCAGCACGGGAGCAAUCCUGGUGGCGAGUGGCGAACGGGUGAGUAAUAUAUCGGAACGUGCCCAGUCGUGGGGGAUAACGCACCGAAAGCUGUGCUAAUACCGCAUACGAUCUACGGAUGAAAGCGGGGGAUCGCAAGACCUCGCGCGGUUGGAGCGGCCGAUAUCAGAUUAGGUUGUUGGUGGGGUAAAAGCCCACCAAGCCGACGAUCUGUAGCUGGUCUGAGAGGACGACCAGCCACACUGGAACUGAGACACGGUCCAGACUCCUACGGGAGGCAGCAGUGGGGAAUUUUGGACAAUGGGCGCAAGCCUGAUCCAACAAUGCCGCGUGCAGGAUGAAGGCCUUCGGGUUGUAAACUGCUUUUGUACGGAACGAAACGGUCCUUUCUAAUACAAGGGGCUAAUGACGGUACCGUAAGAAUAAGCACCGGCUAACUACGUGCCAGCAGCCGCGGUAAUACGUAGGGUGCGAGCGUUAAUCGGAAUUACUGGGCGUAAAGCGUGCGCAGGCGGUUAUAUAAGACAGAUGUGAAAUCCCCGGGCUCAACCUGGGACCUGCAUUUGUGACUGUAUAGCUAGAGUGCGGCAGAGGGGGAUGGAAUUCCGCGUGUAGCAGUGAAAUGCGUAGAUAUGCGGAGGAACACCGAUGGCGAAGGCAAUCCCCUGGGCCUGCACUGACGCUCAUGCACGAAAGCGUGGGGAGCAAACAGGAUUAGAUACCCUGGUAGUCCACGCCCUAAACGAUGUCAACUGGUUGUUGGGUCUUCACUGACUCAGUAACAAAGCUAACGCUUGAUAUUGACCGCGUGGGG
rnacentral:rRNA from 1 species